rnacentral:rRNA from 1 species
CCUACGGGAGGCAGCAGUGAGGAAUAUUGGUCAAUGGGCGCGAGCCUGAACCAGCCAAGUAGCGUGAAGGAUGACUGCCCUACGGGUUGUAAACUUCUUUUAUAAAGGAAUAAAGUGAGGCACGUGAGCCUUUUUGUAUGUACUUUAUGAAUAAGGAUCGGCUAACUCCGGGCCAGCAGCCGCGGUAAUACGGAGGAUCCGAGCGUUAUCCGGAUUUAUUGGGUUUAAAGGGAGAGUAGGCGGUCGGAUAAGUUAGAGGUGAAAUCCCGAGGCUCAACUUCGGAAUUGCCUCUGAUACUGGUCGGCUAGAGAGUAGUAGCGGUAGGUGGAAUGUAUGGUGUAGCGGUGAAAUGCUUAGAGAUCAUGCAGAACACCGAUUGCGAAGGCAGCUUACCGGGCUACUUCUGACGUUGAGGCACGAAAGCGGGGGGAGCAAACAGGAGUAGAUACCCUUGUAGUC